CCUACGGGAGGCAGCAGUGGGGAAUUUUGGACAAUGGGGGAAACCCUGAUCCAGCCAUGCCGCGUGAGUGAAGAAGGCCUUCGGGUUGUAAAGCUCUUUCAGCCGGAACGAAAAGGUUACGGUUAAUACCCGUGACUAAUGACG
rnacentral:rRNA from 1 species